CGCCGCCGCCGCCGCCGCCGCCGCCGCUGGAAUUUUUCUCACUCUCCCUCUCCAGCUCCCACUAGUGACUGCAGAUUGCGAGCCAAGCACUUAGCGCAGGGAUUACGCGGCCCGGCGCCUGGAGCGGCCCCAGCCACCUCCAGACCCGUCCUCCCCAGAGCAUCCCAGGCGCUGCAGCCGACAAACGUCCCCGGCUGGUCCAAAAGCCUCCGCCACACGCCCCCUUCAGCUUCCAGAAACAAAAGCGCGUGCAAGCGGCGCUGGACGGUGCAGCUGGGAAGGACUCCAGGAGGCAGAGUGCGGUGAACUUCAACUUCGUCGGGGCCAGCGACACUUUGGAGAAGUUAUGGAAACAUUGGUCACACACCUCAUAAAGGGGCGGGUGGAGGGGGCAACAUCAAAUUAGAUCUGCAGUCUCGGGUGCCAGUACUUAUAGUGGAAAGAGCUUCAAAGGUGGACUUCAUUCGGGGUGCUCCAACAUAGCCUCAUUCUUUCCCCUGCUGUGUCUUCUCUACUUUCCACACUGAAUCAGAUGUAGGAAAUAUUUCAACAGAAGGAAGAACCUUUCUCCUGGCUCCUCUAUUUUUCUGUGAUAGUCUAUCAGUCCUGUUACAGUGCAUUGCCUUCAUGCAUGCAAACAAAAAGUGAUUGCCAGUUUGGAAUGGGUCCACGUUCUCCCUGACUCACAGUAUAUUUACAAUGUGGGCCUCGGGAAGAAGUAUACAGAGCCGUUUCCUCCUGAGCUGGAAAAAUGGAAGCGAAGAAGCAACAGAUACACAGGGACAGCAGUUCUCUGCUUAGGCCACUUGAAAAGGGACAGUUCUCUGCUUAAACCACUCGGAAAGCAUGGGGUUUGGAGUCUUACUAAAACCCGUUCUUUCUGCCAAAUAUUUCUAAAUUAAUGGAAGUGUUUGAAAGUUUGGGGAUUCUACCUCUGUCUCAGAGAUUGUGCUGGAAAUAAAUUCA
rnacentral:lncRNA from 1 species